AUAAAUACGGUAUAUUUGAGGCUCAGUCAGAUAGGUUCUUACAAUAUUCUGUGUUUCGAAAUGUCUCCUAAACUCUUCUCUCUCCUCUUCGUAGUUUUGGCUCUUAUGGCUACAGCCAUGGCAGGAGUCCACAAAGUGCGAUAUGAACAAGAACCACCGGAAAGACGAAUGGGAAUUUUGGGUGGUAUCAAAGAAAUGGCUGAUGAUAUACUCAGUACUGCCGGAGUUCACAACCAAUAAUUUGAUUGCUAAUUGUUGGAAUUUUAGCC